UUUUUUUUUUUUUUUUCCCCAGUGCAGAAGAGAUAGUGGUCAUGAGAAUGCCCCAUUUUCUUUCUACUACAUUUUUUAGCCCCCUGAACCUAAGUGAACUUUCAUGCCCUCCUUGCCAUCUCUACAGACAGCUGGCUGGUACAAAGGCAGCCUUGAACUUCCAAGAUGGUACAGUCACAAGAUAGAAAUAGCUUAGUCCCUUAUUCACCUCUUGCAGCAGAAUCAUCCACUCAAGAAUACCCUCAUUACAUUUUGCAUGAGCAAGAAUCAAACUUCUUUGAGGCCAAAGCAUUAGAUUUGAGGGUCUGUUUGUUAUAGCAGUUAACUGACACUGACUGAUACACCUAGUUCAUUUCCAACAUCAAUCCUGUGAGUCAUUGUCAUAUAUAGAUACUUUAAAUUGACCUUUAAAUUGAAUAUUUUUACCAACAAAUUCACUUCUACAACAUCACUAAUGAGCUCUUAUAAGCAAGCUGUGAAUAUUUGACUGCCUGUGUUUGUUACCUUUGUUUCCUCCACUCCGUGUUUCACUCAUUUAUUUGAAAACCAUGUGUGAGCAUCUGCUAAGUGGCAGACAUUAUCUAUGUCCUUGGGAUGUGAAGAUAAAUAUAACACAGGCAAAAGACAAUGACAGAAAUAUUAGUGUGCCCUGCAAGAGGGGGUGCACACAGGACAAUGAGGAUAUAAAACAAUGGAAGUACAACAAUGAAAGGGCAGAGACAUUUUUACCAAGGUUGUGACAUCUAUACUGAGUUUUAAGAGAUGGGUAGCAGUUCACCAGGUAGAGAUGGAAAGAGAAAGGCCAGAUCAGACAAGGGGACAUGCAAAGACCCCCAGGUGGGACCCUUGCAUCUUGCAGAAUGGUCCCUAUAGCUGGCCUAAAGAGCUGGUUAGCAUGAUCCCAAAGAUGACUCGAUGAUAAAUCCAAGUUCUGAAAUGACUUUGAGCCAAGCAGCAUUAACCUGGGGCACAAAAGAGUCAUAUGUGAGGUUUGGGUCCAUGCCUAUUAUUCUGGAAUCUGCCUUGCUUAACUCCAAGAUUUAUGUGGGGCACUUGGCCCAGGGGAGGUAAUUCCUGACAUGUUUACAUCUAAACUUAGAGGGAUAACCUCCCCAAUGUCCUGUAGGGAAGGCUGAGAUUGGCAAAGGUGGUUAAACCUCCAGAAGAUCUGCUAUGAUCCUCAUUUAUUCAAACAUGAUCUUCUACUGUGCAACCCCUUGUUGAGGAUCUUGCAGCCAGGAAGAUCACAUCUCCAUCCACCUUGGAGAAAGUGGUUCAUCUCUCUGCCUGAAUGCCAGUCAGCUUGACUUCUUUUUGUAUCUUUUUGAUUUACCUAAAUAUUACUGGUGCCUAGUCUCCCUGUGCAUCUAAGCCUGCAGACAGCAUUUUUUACCUCAGUGGUUGCACACAAAACACAGUGUGUUUGGAAAAUUAUAAUUAGCCUGUUAUGCCUGGGAGGACACUGGUGAUUUGCAAAUGGUGUGUGCAAGAAAAGAAAUUCAGGAGGGAGAUCAUGAUAACUGUUAUACAUCAUGCUAAGGAGUUCAGAUGUAAUCUUGUUAGGCAAACGGGAACCCAAGAAAUGGGUGUGACAUGAGAAAAAACAGAUUUAAAGAUAUAAAUAUAGACACAUACAUACAUACACAGACACACAUAUAC
ensembl:lncRNA